rnacentral:lncRNA from 1 species
AUGGGCCUAAUAGGCUAACAUAAUCAUUUAUAAACUCAAACAUAGGCCGACAGGGCCGUACAAUCUUUCACAUAUACGACAUAUAUCUACAAGAGUCUAAGAGUACAUAUGUAUCACAAAGGUCGGGAGAGAGAGUCCCACCAAACAAAAAAGAAAACGUCUAAAUCAUACUAAUCAAAUACGCAACUCAGAAGCAAAUUGAGCGCACCAACAUCUUUCACUAAGCUGAUAGCCUACUUGAAGGGCACUCGACCUGUCUAUCAGGACCUGCGGCCAUGAAACGAAACUUCCCCAGGCAAAAGGGGCGUCAGUACGAAUAAUGUACCGAGUAUGUAAGGCAUGAAAAUAAGUACAUAAGAGACAUGGAAGAAAUAUAGAGUACAUGACUCAACCUGUAAGUCUGAAUAACUUUGUAAAUCAUAAAUUACUUUUAGCCACAUGCAUAUGUAUAUGAAUGUCAUGUCAUGCAUAAGUACAUGUUUCAUAACAUCAUCAGCCUUUGAGGGCAUCCCAUCAUAUCAUAUAGGCCACUAUGGGCAAAAUCAUCAUCGUAUACUAGCUGAUUAGGUGGUGGUGCGUAUAUAACGCCAUAACCUUUUCCAUAUCCCAUAUACAUAUAUAUAUAUAUACAUAUCAUAUAUAUAUAUAUACAUAUAUAUAUAUAUACAUAUAUAUAUAUAUAUAUAUACACACACAUAUAUAUAUAUAUAUAUACGCGUAUAUAACGCCAUAACAUCAUCACGCCUCUAAGGGCAUCCCACCAUAUCAUCUCAGCCACUGUGGGCAAAAUCAUCAUCGUAUACCAACUGAUCAAGUGGUGGUGCGUAUAUACCGUCGUAACCUUUUCCCAUAUCCCAUAUACAUAUAUACGCGUAUAUAACACUGUCUAAGUCAUAUUUCAGCCACUGUGGACAACAUCAUCAUUGUAUACCCGCUGAUCAGGUGGUGGUGCGCAUAUAACGACAUAACCUCAUCCCAUAUCCCAUAUACAUAUAUAAUAUACAUACAUAUAUACAUGUAUAUAACACCGUUUAUAUCAUAUUUCAGCUACUGUGGGCAACAUCAUCAUCAUAUACCAGCUAAUCAAGCGGUAGUGCGUAUACAAUGCCAUAGCCAUUCCUAUAUCCCAUAUACACUCAUAUAUAUAUACACACACAUGUAUAUAACACCAUCUGGUCAUGGGUCAAUGCACAUGAAUGCAAUCAUACAUAUAGAUGCAUAUAUAAAGCCAUUUGAAUACAUCAUAUAUAUGCGUAUAUAACGCCAUUUGAAUACAUACCCAUAUAUGCGUAUAUAAUGCCGUUUGAAUCAUAUUUCAGCCACUGUGGGCAACAUCAUCAUCAUAUACGAGCUGAUCAGGUGGUGGUGCGUAUAUAUAUAUAUAUAUACACGUAUAUAAUGCCGUCUGAGUCAUGGGUCAAUGUACAUGUAUAAAUUCAUGAAAUGCAUACUAAAUACGAUAACAAAAUCUCUCAGUACGUCACAAGACCAUUAUACCUCUGAUUAAAAUCCUUUUACGUAUUUUCUGAGACCCAUGAACAAACUAUGGCUUAAUAAGACAUAUGAAAAUUCAAGAACAUAGGCACUUCUAAUACUUGUAUGAAUGAGUUAUAUAUGGAAUUUGUGCAUUUGCAUAUUUCGUUCGUAUUGUAUGGAUCUUGCCAAAAGAAAGAAGGGAUAGCCUUAACAUACCUGGAGUAGGAAAAACUCUGCAUAAUAUUCUUGGCGAUACACCAUAUUCUUUUAGAAACACAAAAUUCGGACGAAAUUAAGCUUCUGUUCGUUGAUGUAUUUGAACAUGUGAACAUCUGUUCUUAGUGUUACAUUAUUUGAACCAAGAAAGAACAUUCUCUUGCUUUAGAAUUUUGUUGAUCAUUUCCUUAAGGUUUUG